CUCAUGUUUGCUGUCCAGCAGAGGGUGCUGUGGUACAGUUUAUGGAAUUUGGGAUUGAUUUUAUUUUGUAUUUCAGUUGGAAAUAUGAAGGCAAGUUAUUUGUCCACGUAUAUUUGAUACCUGCUGAGACUUAGAUUUUAAGGAAAUCUCUAAUCUUUAACAGUCCCAUGCUGACUUGCAGUGAAGGAUUAUUUCUAAAAGAAAUACUGAUAAGAGCUUCAACAUUUUACUUCUGUUCUGCUAAAAUCCUGAUUAGAGUUGGGGAAUUUCAUCAAUUUAAAAAUAAAUGACAUAAACGUCCUGAAUAUUGGUGAAAUAAGCAUCUACCUAAUUUCUUCUUCUGGUUUUAGCUUUAAUGGAAAAACUCCUUCAAAGCUGAUAAGUUGUUGUUAAAGCUUACUAAAAAACCCAAAGCAGAUAUUGAACAUUGUAAUAACUUUUUUGUCUGAAAGUUGUGUUAAGUGGCAAGUUUUUUUAAAGUUAAGUAGUGUAAAGUUUUGGUGCUCUGUAAUGCACAAUCAAGUAUAUACAUUUCAAAUUAUUGAUUCUAAGCCUUGAGGAUACUGAUUUUUAAAGCAGCAGUUUUAUUCAUAAAGCAGAAAAGCAAGCAUUUAAAUAUAUAUUAAAAGUAUAGUUUUAAACAUGUUUGAUAUUAUCUUUAUAACUAAAAUUAAUUUGAAUAUGUAGACAUGUAUUUUAAAUAUUAAAAAUAAAAAUACAUUCUGAAAAUAACAUCAAAGGCAUUUGAUAAUGCUUUCAGGGUAGCUGUAUAGUGAGCACGGCUGUAAAGUAUAAAACUUCGUGUGAUGGAAAUUCAUCUGUAUUAGAGCUCUUACUGGAAAAUACUGCACUUACCAGUGAGCAAUUUUUCUGCUUCUGCUGAAUUGUCCAUGAUUAUUUUAUAAAUACCACUGCAGUGAGGGAAAGCUUGUAUUUCUUAAGAUUUGUCAUUGAACUAAGACCUGCCAGUAACAUAAUGUAAAAAUGUUUAAUGAAAUGAAGUUAAAACUGAAUGUCAAUAAAGAUGUACCUGUGUCUAGGGGGGCAACAGAGGCACACCUCGAAGUGGUAAUGAAUUUGGGUUCACCUGCAAGUAGAGAAACAGGUUUACUGUUUCUGAGCCUGAUGACCUUGAUGCUGCCAUGUCUUGAUGCUGCUAAGUUAUCUUUUCCUUACAUAAUAAUUGCUUCUUCAGUGUAGUGCUUAAUGCUUAGUUACGGUAAAUGAAACUUGUGCUCUUGUUGACUGGGUCAGAGCCCUUGUUCAGUCAAAAUAUUAUCACAGUUUUCUACAGCAAGUUGAAAUGUUAGGUAAUUUUUGUCUGUGGCCACAUAAAAGUUGAAGUAGGUUUUUGCUGGUAUGCCAAUAAUUUUGCUGGCUUGGAGUCAACUAUAUUUUGAGACUGCCACUUUCACAAAAAUGGGCCAAAUACUUGGCCGAGUUGCAGAAAAUUUAUACUGUGCAACCAUAUUUGAGUUUCCUGCUGUAAUUAUUUUCACAAUGCUUAUUUUGAGAUCAGUGAAGGUGAAGUGCACUUUAAUUAUUUUAACUGUCAAGUACAAGUUAACACCUGCAUGUGUGACCUAAACUCAGAAUAUGUGAUAAUCAAGGCUGCUUAUAAACAAAACACAGAAAACAAACUUCUUGGAAUUAACAUCUAGGUCUGUUUACUAAUCUGGUAGUCUCAAAUUCUAAUAUUUAGUUUCUAUUAAUCUUGCUUUGUGUUUGUUAUUUCUAAUCCUUAAUGCUACAAUUUUCCUUUUUUCACUGCCAGGUAAUUUUUUGUUUUAACCUAAAGGAGUAUGCAUUGCACCACAAAACUUCUGUGCCAAGUUUUCAAGGGUCUUGUUUCCUAUUGAUUUAUGGAAAUGGCAAGCCAAGUACUGAUUUUUAAGAGGUAGCUUAAGAAAGAGGCAAGAAAGCAUUACCACUUGAUGUUGUACUGCUACCACAGUGGCUGGGAAGAGUAUGCGAGCACAGUAUAGUUUAGAGCGCUUGAACUCCAAUAUACUGACUUCAGUUACCUUCUUGGGCAGCUGGGCAACAAAGUUAUCUUAGUUUCUUGUUACUGCUAUCAUCAGGGAGGCAUUCAUUUAGAUGAUGUACAGUUCAGAUAUAAGCAACAAAACAUGAUUUCUUCUCUAUUUUUUAAUUAGGUCUUCUUCAGCUAUUUUGCAACAAACACUUGAGCAGAUUUGAUUGUAUGUUUUUGAUAGACUGAGUAAAGAGAUAGUUGUACAACCUCUUCUUCAGAGUUCUCUAAUUACAAAACUAAGCUUUUCUCUAUUCUCACAUUCUGCAUGAUACUUCCAUUAGAAUCUCAUCCAUAAGCUGCUCAGGCAUGAAAAGGCACAUUUAUUUUCUGCCAAAUGCAGUAUUUGUAUACACUCAAGCAUGAGAAGUAUUUCAUUUUGCAAGGCAAUGCAGUGCAAAUUUUUCUUUUUGAACCUGGAAAUAGCAAGCAGGGUUGCUCCUUCUUUGAAGAAAAAUGCCAUUAUUUUUGCAGAGCAUCAGACAGCACAGAUUGCCAUAAUGUCAUUUCAGAAGGAAGCAUAUUAAUUCCAGUCUUGUGGGAAUGCGAUGUAGCGCUACGUGACGCAUCAUCUUGGUUCUUAUGUUUAAGAAAAAGAAUCAAAAGCAUAUUUAUAAGGUAAAUUAAAUAAGCAUUUGCCUAACUGUGAAGUCUUGUUCAGAAAUAUGCUGCUACAUUCUAAUUCUGUCUUGCUUGUAAUAAGAGAUGCCUGUGGAAUUCUGACAAGUUUUGACCUGCCUGUAUGAUGGAUGAAAACUUUUUUAACUAACAUCUGACAUCAUUGGAUGAAAUGUCUGAUGUCCUUUCAUUACAAAAAAGCUUGACCUAGUGCUUUUCAGCUCUCCAAGCUCUGUUGAAACUCAAACAUUAAAAACUUGGUGUAUACAAGCUUUUGCCAAUGUUUGCGUGUUUAUUAGUCUGUCUUAAUAACAGAGGAAGGACUUCAGUGUUUCCUAAUCAAACAUGUUUUUCUGACUACUUUGUACAAGAAAACUCAAUAUACAAAAAAGUCUCAUUGGUUUAUGUUCUCCACUGGUUUAUUUCUUUUACCUUUGACUUUGAGAACAGUUUUCCUCACGUGCUAUUAUAAUUAUGUGAUUAGAAUAGUAGGGUUUUAAUGUCACUGAGGGGAUUGGGAGCUGAGGACUAUGGGAAGGAGUGAGGAAGUGUGUUAUUCCUAAUUCAGUGCAGUGCCAUAUAGUGUGAAAGCUGUAUCGGAAUAAAUUAAAUUAAUCAAAAAACUGUUCGGUGUGCCUGCAAAGGUAUUUGGGCAGUUGUAAGCUAUUAUGUUUAAACUAUUGUACAAAAUCAAUAGGAAGUCCUUCUGACUCUCUGAAAUUGUUGACCCAGUUGUUUCCUUUUAUUUUCAAUAUAGACUUUCUUCUCUUGGCUCUUUUUGUACUCUUAUGGGGACAAAACUGCUACUAAACAUUUGUAUGUAAUACCAGUAAUAAACUUAAGGCUGCAAAAGA